UACGUAGGUGGCAAGCGUUGUCCGGAAUUAUUGGGCGUAAAGCGCGCGCAGGUGGUUUCUUAAGUCUGAUGUGAAAGCCCACGGCUCAACCGUGGAGGGUCAUUGGAAACUGGGGAACUUGAGUGCAGGAGAGAAGAGUGGAAUUCCACGUGUAGCGGUGAAAUGCGUAGAUAUCGAGAGGAACACCAGUGGCGAAGGCGAGUCUCCGGACAAUUCCUGACGCUGAGGCACGAAAGCUAGGGGAGCAAACAGG
rnacentral:rRNA from 1 species